AGACAGCGAGCCCUGCCGCUGCACUUCCGGGCGCGGAUCCAGGUGAGCCAAGGUCUCCCUGUUACCUCUGUUACUGUCACCCCUAGGACGGGUGUCUCAGCUUACUGCCGGGGUGCCCAGUAUCAGAGGGAGCAUGUCCAGGUGUUGGCCGGGUUCCCACCGGAGGAGACAGAGCUGCCGGGACUUCUGGAUCCCAGCUUAGCUCAAUGGGCUUUAUACCGGGCUUCCUGGGGACGUCGUUCCUUCGGUUUUUUCUUGAGCCUGGCCGCCCGGAAGCGGAGCAAGACUCCUCCCCGUCGUUUCCUCGGUUCCCGCCAGGCGGCGCCGUUUACUCAAUCCAGUUAAUCCGUGUGGUUUCUGUCUAUUGCCACCCUGGAAAUGUUGAGUUAGUCCGAAGAGAGCCAUUGAAAUGGACUGUCAGAGAACAAUCUACCUACCAUUUGGAAUAGUCUUCCUCCUAGACUGUGGUUUGACAGCAUUAGAUCUCCCGGUUGGAUAUGCACAGGCUCCCGUGCUCACCCCCAGAACCUGAAUCGGUAGGUGUAGCCUGGGCGUCAGGUUGAGAUCCAAGGUCUCAGCCUCUCACCGUCAGAUGGUAUGACUGGUAGAAACAGCUGCAACGAGUUAGCUAUGGUUUGUUUACGUCCUGAAGUUUAUAGCAGUACGUGAUUGUUGUUGGGCAUUGUUUUGAGAGCCAAAACGUCCAUGGUUUCUUCGCACCCCAAUGAACAUUCUCUUCUCUCCCAGGAUGCGGAAGGUGUCUGUGCUCCUCUUCUUAGCCUGGGUCUGUUUUCUUUUCUACGCUGGCAUUGCACUCUUCACCAGUGGCUUCCUUCUCACUCGUCUGGAGCUCACCAAUCAAAGCAGCUGCCAAGAGCUCCCAGGCCCUGGUCCCUUGCCGUGGGGAAGUCAUGGAAAGCCUGGGGCUUGCUGGAUGCCUUCCCGCUUCUCCAGGGUGGUUUUGGUACUGAUAGACGCUCUGCGGUUUGACUUUGCCCAGCCUCAGCGCUCGCAUGUGCCUGGGGAACCUCCUGUCUCCGUGCCUUUUCUGGGAAAAUUAGGUUCCUUGCAGAGGAUCCUAGAGAGUCAACCCCACCAUGGCCGGCUGUACCGAUCUCAGGUGGACCCCCCCACGACCACCAUGCAGCGUCUAAAGGCUCUCACCACUGGCUCGCUGCCGACUUUCAUUGAUGCUGGCAGUAACUUUGCCAGCCAUGCUAUAGUGGAAGAUAAUGUCAUCCAACAGCUCAACAGUGCAGGAAGGCGUGUAGUCUUCAUGGGAGAUGAUACCUGGAGAGACCUCUUCCCCGGAGCCUUUUCUCAAGCUUUCUUCUUCUCAUCCUUCAAUGUCAGAGACCUGCACACAGUGGAUAACGGCAUCUUGGAACACCUCUAUCCUACCCUGGACGGCGGUUCGUGGGAUGUGCUGAUCGCUCACUUCCUGGGUGUGGAUCACUGUGGUCACAAGCACGGCCCUCACCACCCUGAAAUGGCCAAGAAACUUAGCCAGAUGGACCAGGUGAUACAGGGACUCAUAGAACGCCUGGAGAAUGACACACUGCUGGUGGUAGCCGGUGACCAUGGGAUGACCAUGAAUGGGGACCAUGGAGGGGACAGUGAGCUGGAGGUGUCAGCUGCACUUUUCCUGUACAGCCCCACAGCUCUCUUCCCUAGUGUCCCACCCGAGGAGCCGGAGGUUAUUCCUCAGGUCAGCCUUGUGCCCACGCUGGCACUGCUGCUAGGCCUGCCCAUCCCGUUUGGGAACACUGGGGAAGUGAUGGCAGAGCUAUUCUCAGGUGGCAGUGACUCCUCCCAUCCUCACUCCUCUGCGCUAGCCCAAGUCUCGGCUCUCCACAUCAAUGCCCAGCAGGUGUCCCGGUUUCUUCAUACCUACUCGGCUGCGACUCAGGAUCUCCAAGUUAAAGAACUUCAUCGGCUGCAGACGCUCUUCUCCAAGGCCUCUGCGCGUUACCAGCACUUUCUGCGGGAUCCCCAAGAGGCUGAGGCAGCGCUGAGCACAUUGACUGCUGAGUUCCAGCAGUUCCUGCGGGGAGCUCGGGCCCUGUGCAUCGAGUCUUGGGCCCGCUUCUCUCUGGUCCGAAUGGCAGGGGGCGCUGCUCUUUUGGCUGCUGCCUGCCUUCUCUGCCUGCUUGCUUCCCAGUUGGCAGUCGCCCCAGGCUUUCUCUUCCGCCCACUACUGCUAAUACCUGUAGCCUGGGGCCUAACUUGGACCAUCCUGUAUGCUGGAGUCUCGGUAACUACUGGGUCGAAGAUAGACUUAGUGGUUCUGGGGGCUGUGGCUGCAGCCGGUUCACUCCUCCCUUUUCUGUGGAAAGCUUGGGUUAGCAGGGGGUCUAAGAGGCCACUGGCUCCCCUACUUCCUGUCCCUAGACCUGUCCUAAUAUUACUGCUCAUUCGCUUGGCCACCUUCUUCUCGGAUAGCUUUGUUGUUGCUGAGGCCAGGGCCACCCCCUUCCUUCUGGGCUCUCUCGUUUUCUUCCUGGUUGCUCAGCUCCACUGGGAGGGUCAGCUACUGCCACCCAAACCACUCACGAUGUCCCGCCUUGGCUCUUCUGCCCCAACAGCGCCCCCACGGCACAGUGGCGCGCAUGCCCUGUGGCUUGGAAUUGGGUUGCUUUUAUUUACAAGGCUCGCUGGGCUUUUUCACCGCUGCCCGGAAGAGACACCUGCCUGUCGCUCCUCUCCCUGGCUGAGUCCUCUGGCAUCUAUGGUGGGAGGUCGAGCCAAGAAUUUGUGGUACGGAGCUUGCGUGGGGGCACUGGUGGCCCUGUUAGUCGUCGUGCGCUUGUGGCUUCGCCGCUAUGGUAAUCUCAAGAGUCCUGAGCCCCCUGUGCUCUUUGUGCGCUGGGGGAUGCCUCUCAUGGUACUGGGCACGGCUGCCUACUGGGCACUGGCAUCAGGUGCAGAGGAAGCACCACCACGCCUCCGGGCCCUGGUCGCCGGGGCAUCAGCUGUGCUGCCUCGGGCUGUGAUGGGGCUGGCUGCCUUGGGGCUCGUGCUGCUGCUCUGGAGGCCUGUGACAGUGCUGGUGAAAGCUGGGGCUGCUACUUCAAGGACCAGGACUAUCCUCACUCCCUUCUCAGGUCCCCCUACUUCUCAGGCUGACCUCGACUAUGUAGUCCCACAAAUCUACCGCCACAUGCAGGAGGAGUUCCAGGGCCGGCUCGAGAGGACUAAAGCUCAGGGUCCCAUAACCGUGGCUGCCUAUCAGUUGGGAAGCGUGUACUCGGCUGCUAUGGUCACGGCCCUCCUCCUCUUGGCCUUCCCACUUAUGCUGUUGCAUGUAGAGCGGGUCAGCCUGGUGUUCCUGCUCCUGUUUCUGCAGAGCUUCCUUCUCCUGCAUCUGCUGGCCGCUGGGACACCAGUCGCCACCCCUGGCCCUUUUACUGUGCUGUGGCAGGCAGUCUCAGCUUGGGUCCUUCUGGCUACCCAGACCUUCUACUCCACAGGCCACCAGCCUGUCUUUUCAGCCAUCCAUUGGCACGCAGCCUUUGUGGGCUUCCCAGACGGCCAUGGCUCUUCUACCUGGUUGCCUGCCUUACUAGUGGGAGCUAACACCUUUGCCUCCCACCUCCUCUUCGCAGGCAGUAGGCUGCCCACUGCUCCUGCUCUGGCCCUUCCUGUGUGAGCGUCAAGGGCCAAAGAGAAGGCAGCCCCUCCCGGGAAGUGAGUCUGAAGCCAGAGUCCGGCCUGAGGAAGAGGAGGAGCUGCAGGAGCCACUGAUGGAGAUGCGCCUCCGGGAUGCUCCGAAUCACUUCAAUGCAGCCCUGUUGCAGCUGGGCCUCAAGUACCUCUUUAUCCUUGGAGCUCAGAUUCUAGCUUGUGCCUUGGCAGCUUCCAUCCUCCGCAGGCACCUCAUGGUCUGGAAGGUGUUUGCUCCCAAGUUCAUUUUUGAAGCCGUAGGUUUCAUCGUGAGCAGUGUGGGACUUCUCCUGGGCAUAGCAUUGGUGAUGCGAGUGGAUGUCGCUGUGAGUUCCUGGUUCAAAAAACUAGUUCUGGCCCAGCAGAGGUAGCCCAGGCUGUGCUCGUUGGCGUCUGGCCAUGGAGAGAGCUGGGGACUAAUCCGGCCUGACCUGUACUGGUGCUGGAUUCUGCAAGAGACUCCGACACACCUCUUGAGCCACCCUGUAACCAGAGACUGCUCAACUCUGGGACUUUAUUAUUUUAUAACUGAGAAUCAUCUGGAGCCCGAGCCCGAGCCCGAGCCUUCCCUCCUGGGUUGGAUACAUCUGACGGACAACAGGGGCGGCUACCAAAGUGGAAUAAAAGAACAAUGUGAAUGUUUUAUGUAGCUAAGAUCUGUGAGGUGCUCGCCAAGUCAGGCUCAGCAAGCAUGAGGAGAUGCGUCAUGUCAGGCAGGGCUUGCUGUGCCAGACAACACUUUGGCAAGAGGUUGUCUGGAUUCACUGACCUCUGCCCAAAUUGUUCUAGUUAUCCCAUUUGUCUCGCCCUCCACCUUGUUUGUGUUUGGCUAUUCUGUGCUUUAACUGAUUGCAGGGAAGACAAGCCCAGCAUCAUGAAGCACACAGACAUGUUUCUAACACACAGUUUGAAGCACUAUGUUUCUUCCCCUGGUACCCUCUCUGUUCACAACUGCAGAAGCCUCUCUCUAGGUUUUCAGCCUGGGCUACCUUCAUUGCAUUGUUUUGCUUUUUUUUUUUUUUUUUUUUUUUUUUGGUUUUUUCCAGACAGGGCUUCUCUGUGUAGCCCUGGCUGUCCUGGAACUCACUUUGUAGACCAGGUUGGCCUCGAACUCAGAAAUCCACCUGCCUCUGCCUCCCAAGUGCUGGGAUUAAAGACGUGCGCCACCACUGCCCGGCCUCUUUAUUUUGAAAAUAAUCUUACUAUGUAAGCUCUAGCUGGUUUGGAACUCAGUAUGUAAACAAAGCCGGCUUUGAACUCACAGAGAUCCACCUGCCUCUGCCUCCCAGUACUGAGAAUAAAGGUGUGCGUCACCA